CACUUUCUUCCUCCCCGCCCACCCCACCCGGAUGAACCCCAAUAAUGCUCUCUGGCACAGCCUGCUGAGAUGCCGCGGCGGCCACCUCUGCACCACCCCUCGCAACGCACGUGCACACUGAGAUGUGUAUCGGCUUGGGUAUGGAAACAUCCACGUGCCCAUAUGGGCACAGUGUGCGGGUAGGCACACAGGCUCAGACACAUACAUGCAUGCAUGUGCUCACAGACACUGGCACACCAACUUACUCUCAGGGGAGCAUAUACACAUGCUCACAGGGCAUACAUCCGUGCACACACACGUUUGAUCACAGGACAUGAAUGGCCAACAUACACACAGACACCCCUGCUCCCCAAGCUCACCCUCCAAAAUAGGGUCCACAGCAUACAGUGCACCCAGAGCCUUCGAGGUACUCAGGAAUAAGACAUGCCACACACGUACAACUCCCCACCACCUCCCCAAAAAGCUGCUCCCCCAGCCCCCUGCACAAGCCUCUCCUGGACUCCUCCAAUCCUUCCUCUCCACUACCACUGCCCCUCCCCCAGCCCCAACCUCUCCCUCCAUGGGGGGUCUAGAGGACACCUGCCCACUGAGUGUCCCAUUUAGGACAAAACCCUUCCUGGGCCACGUAUGUCAAGCUGAGGAAACCACUUCUCCUUCAGGAUGCCCUCCAAUUGGGUUCUGUCCCCCAAACUUUUGGACGCUCUGGAAAGCACCUGUGGCCCCAGAGAGCAGACACUCAUAAGCCUUAAAGGAACACAAAGUCCCCUCCACCCCCAGGAGUAGUCCCCAUGUCACAGAUGGAGAAAUUGAGGUGGUAAGUGGGGAAAAGUUGUUCUGAAGGUGUGACCUCUCCUCACCCUAGUCUCUCCCCCACCAGACAGCUCCAACCCCCAGCCCCACCCUUCAGAGGACAGGCCCUGCUCCUUCCACCUUUGCCAUUUCUACCCUCUUUCCUCUCUUGAAACCAGGGCCUGCCUGCGCCCCCAGGGCCUCCCACGGGUGAAGGCAGAGCUAACUGAACGGGUCUCUCUGCUGGGUUCCUGCCUGACCUUGUACAUCACAGGGCCCCAAGAAGACGUGCCAUAGAAACAGAGCAUGAAAAACCAGAGACAAGCUAGGAAGGAGGAGUAGCCCUGGGAGAAGAGAGGAUUGGGUCCCACUCCCAAGAUUCCUGCCCUGCCCUCCAGGGGCGGAGAUCUCAGCAUUACCCCAGAGCCAGAGCUCAGAGCAGCAGCACACUGAGCCCUGUGUGGCCCCCAGGUUGCACCCACCUUGUCUUAGCUCCACAGCUUUGCAGAGACCAGUGCUUGGGGAUGGUGACGCCUCCCAAGAUGCACCCUGCUCCCCAGCCCCAACUCUCCCUCCCUCCCACCAGCCUGGUACCCAAAGAAGUUGCUCUUCCUAUCCCUGCUGAAAGGUAGCACAACCCUCACUUCCCAUCCAUCUCAUGCCCCCUUUCCAGAAGGCUCCACUGUGUGGGAGUGAAGCAGUGGCGACGGGCAGCAGCGCUUCGUGAUCCUGAUUUCUUCCACCCCAGGCAAGAAGUGCCCACCAUGGGUACCACCACCACCCCUCCCCCGAGGACUAAAUGAGCAGCAGGGAGUGACAAACAGUCAGGUGCACCUAAGUUCCAGCCAAGCUCUACCAUCGACACUCUAUGACUUGGGCAGGACCCCAGGGAAGAUGAUUCAAGCAAUGCUGAGGAGGCUGCACUCUGCCCACCCACUCCAGCCCCAUCAUCCAAGGGAAAUGCCAAAGCUACCCCACAGAGUAGAAGGUUGCCUCCCCGCCAUUCCUGCCUCAGCUGCCCUCCCUCUGCAGGGCUCUAACCAGCUGCAGGCCACCAACCACUAGGGACUGGGAGCUGCUGCUGACCCUGCCCUCUCUGGGGAGGGGCCUCAAACAGAAUGCAAGUUGGCAAUCAGAUGUCCAGCCUAGGAGGAAAAGAACCAAGCGAAGACAGUAGGGAGUGACCUUGUGGCUCAAGGGGACAAACUGCAGCCGGGAUUAUUGGGGAAGAAAGAGGAGCCCAUUCCAGGGAAACCAGCUGUCCAGCAGCCUGGCCUCCUGGAAGCCUCCAGAGCCUGUCCUCUGGGGUGUGGUCCUGCUCUCAGCAGGAAAUAACAGAUUCCCACUUCAUGCCCUGAGGGCACCAAAGGGGGUGCAGAUUGUUAACAGCCCCCCUCCCUGUGCAAUAGUGUGUCUGUGUGAGGUACAAGUACAUGUAAGGCCAUCACCAAAACUACACAGGACAGCAGCAAGUUCACCCCACUAAGGCCAACACCUUUGGUUUUGGGUGAAGGGAGCAGGGUCCCACCAGCUGAGAACAAGGAGGAGAGGCCAUCUAUCAGUGGGUCCCCCCAGAGCUUCAGGCAGCAGCAAUCCUGCACAGCCCCAGGAGAAAGACCCUAUGAGGGGACAGCAGGCCACAGCUCCCCUGGGACUCUGCAGACAAGGGAUGAGAAGGAAGAAGCAGCACAGCUCCUGAAUGCUCAGAGGCCCUGUUUCCUCCCUGGCAGCCCCUAUGGCUGGGAAUGGACCCUGGUCUCCCCAAACUGCCCCCAGCCCUCCCAGGCACU
rnacentral:lncRNA from 1 species